rnacentral:sRNA from 1 species
GGGGGGUAAGGGGUUGGGACCCCACGUGGUCUGCAAAACCAUGCUCGCAUCGCUCAAGAAAGGUGCGGUGGGUUCGAUUCCCACUAUCCCCCUCCA